rnacentral:tRNA from 1 species
GGUUGUGGCUUAGUGGUGGAGUACUUGACUUGUACAUGUGAGAUACUGGGUUCGAUCCUCAGCAUCA